GAGAGACUGAGAGACUGAGAGUGAGGGAAAGAGAGAGAGACAGUCCCAGAGAGAGAGGGAAAGCAGAAGGAGAAAGAGAGAGACCGGUUCCCGGUUCGAUCCUGUCCUCCAUUCCCCCAAUUUCUGGAGUUUCACUUGUUGUCCUUCUUUUUAUGGGUUCUCUGGUUUCCUCCCACCUCCAAAAAGCAUGCCGGAUGUAUUCCCGCCUAACACGCGGUGUUCCUGGGACUCGCUGUGAUUGGUCCUCGCUCAUAAACUCAAGACGUUGUGGUGCUGAAGU